AAACACAUCAGAAACAAGAGACGACAACUUAGGUUUGAUUUGAUUGGUGAAAAAAGGCUAGGGUUCGAGGUAGGAAGAAUUCUAAAAGGUUUUCCGAGAUGAUUUAAUGAAUAGAUUUAGGCUAGUUCAAUCGAUGAAGACAUCCAAUUAAACGAUGGAAGGAGUCGUUGAUCGGUGGAAAAUGUAGAGCAAUGGUGAAAAUGGUGAUAAAUUAGGUUUCAAUCAGUCAAAAGGCUCAGUAGGUGAUGGAUCUAGGAAACCUUAGCAGCUGAGGCUCAAAAUGCCAAAGAAUGAUUGAAAGAUUGAAGAAAGGCUUCGAUUGGAUGUCUUGACGAUGGCUCUGUAGGAGCAAAGGUCAAUGGAGGAAAUGCUCUCGUGGAAGACAAAUGCAAGAGCAAAAAUUAUCUCUCAAAUGUUGACGAGAGAAAAGUGAUGAUGUAUGUUAACGAAUGCGUGA
rnacentral:lncRNA from 1 species